rnacentral:rRNA from 2 species
UGGCGGCGUGCCUAAUACAUGCAAGUCGAGCGGAUCGAUGGGAGCUUGCUCCCUGAGAUCAGCGGCGGACGGGUGAGUAACACGUGGGUAACCUGCCUGUAAGACUGGGAUAACUCCGGGAAACCGGGGCUAAUACCGGAUAAUUCAGUUCCUCGCAUGAGGAACUGUUGAAAGGUGGCUUUUCGCUACCACUUACAGAUGGACCCGCGGCGCAUUAGCUAGUUGGUGAGGUAACGGCUCACCAAGGCAACGAUGCGUAGCCGACCUGAGAGGGUGAUCGGCCACACUGGGACUGAGACACGGCCCAGACUCCUACGGGAGGCAGCAGUAGGGAAUCUUCCGCAAUGGACGAAAGUCUGACGGAGCAACGCCGCGUGAGUGAAGAAGGUUUUCGGAUCGUAAAACUCUGUUGUUAGGGAAGAACAAGUGCCGUUCGAAUAGGGCGGCACCU